rnacentral:sRNA from 1 species
UUGAAGAAAUUUCUCAUAAUUUCAGAAAUAGUCUGUUACUUAGAAAACAUAAAUCUGUCCGCGGCUUAUCAAAACAUAUUUGUAAAGAAUAUUUUUCGAUUUUGUUGGAAGUUCAAUAAACCCGAGUGGCGCGGACCCCCGGGACCCGCUCUCCACUAUCGGACUAUCAGGCCAAAUUAAAACAUAGCGCUUGUAAUUGGGCAUAAAAAGGAUAACAUCGCUGACAGCCAUCCGAGCCUUAUCAGGGAGUUCGGGGAGUACUACAAGUACUGGAAGGCCUUCCCCAACUCCAAAUGCCAUUGAGGCUGUCGUCUCCAUCUAAUCGGGAGGCAUAACGCUUGAGUAGCCCCAAAACGCUUAUCGCCGCCACUCGAUUCACUCGCACAAAAGACGUGUAAUUAUUAUGCGGCGGUUAGGGAGAGAUAACCCUUACUAAGCGGCCCCGUCACCCCACACGAAACCCAGACUCGCGUUCUGUCCCAGAGCCGGCAAGAUUUAUGGACCAGCUCUGACAAUUAGCGCUGAUAACUUUCGGUUUUAUUCCGAUUCGAUGUGCUUCGGCUUUUGGGUUCCUUCUCUAGGUUUUCCAAAUUGAAAUUGGCUGUCUAAUUUGUUGAGUUAUGGCGCCAAGUUCAGACCGCCAAUGUAAUUAUUAAAUACGAAGGAAAUUACUCAUGCAUAGGAAAAUAUGAACCUCUUCUCCAGAAGGCAGCUGUCGUCUCAGAGGAAAGGCGUGUCUCUGACUUUGCCCAAACAUUAACCGGUAGUUAGUCCGAUUAGAGAAAGGUUCUCCAGUGGUAAAUAUUGUGCCACUCAGACGGCUUUCUCCGCGAAGCGUGCUCAGAAAGCCGCACAACCAUAACUGGCGCCAGAGGUGGACACUUGUCGCACAUUCCGCCACGGUCGCUUUCUUUGAGGAUCUUCUUACAGCUGAAGAAUGGAAGAGAAAUGCUUUCUUUAGGGGGAGUUGUCCUGCCAUGGCACGGCUCAUUAACAUCGCUCAUAUUCUUCACGCCAACAGCAAGGAUUGUAAUGGUGUCUAAUGAACAAAAGGAUUGUCUUCGAAUGAGGUCUGAGAUGUAUGUAUUUUAGGGAGUAGCUCAACUAUUCCCCAAUAAUACAUAUGUAUAUACACUAUCCGAUAAUUAACCCCUGUUAAUAAAUUCAUCUUUAAUCUACUAUGACA